UGCUAAGCGGGGUGCCGCGUAUGGGAAGUUCGCAGAGUGGCUUACGGCUCGUUCAAGUAUUUAUUGAACAUAGUCCAAGUACCCAUAGAGGGUGUAAGGCCCGUUCGACGAGUCGUAAGUGUCUCCCGCGUUCUUCUCGAGAGUCGGGUUGCUUGAAAAUGCAGCCCUAAGAGGUGGUAAACUCCAUCUAAGGCUAAAUAUUACCACGAGACCGAUAGCGAACAAGUACCGCGAGGGAAAGUUGAAAAGAACUUUGAAGAGAGAGUUCAAUAGAGCGUGAAACUGCCACGAGGUUAAAGCGGAUGGACGGUCGUGGCAGAACGGGGGGAUUCAAUCACCCGGACGUUUGGAGGCGCUCUUCGCGAGUGGAGACCGACUCUUCCCGGCUUCUCUUCGGUACUCGUUACUAAGGUUGCCGGGGAGGUAAAAACUGGCUUCCUCCGAGAGCUCGUCUCCUCGUAAUCGAAGGGGGGUUGUACCUUUCACCUUAGUAAGCCGUCGCGGCCGUUGUGGCGUUGUCGAUUACCCCCGAGUCCGGGAACCGAUCCUUAAAGCUACGGUUUCUUAACGAUUUAUCGUUUGCCGUAGCGAGUAGGGGUCGGGGACGCUCGAGGAAAGCGAGGAACGCCUGCGACGGUCUCGAUCGGAGACGGGUCGGUUCCAAUUGGAAUGAGCUGAGGCGGGGCUUCUCUCGCGAGUCUCUCACCACCUCGANUAAAGAGCUCCGACCCGUACGCGGCGCAUAUACGACGCACGUCUAUCCGUCCUGUCUUGAAACACGGACCAAGGAGUCUAGCAAGUGCGCGAGUCAUAAGGGUUCACUAAACCUUAGAKGGCGUAACGAAAGUAAUGUAAAUCCCAUUAAACGGAUUAAAGGCGCGUGUGUGUUCGCAUACACGCGCCUCGUUGGACCGAUCCCCUCGGAAAAGUCGUUCUUCUCGAUCGACCGCUGCCGAAUAAUGAGGGGCGCAGGUCCGGAGGCCCGCCACAUUAUCCUCUCUCCCUCUUCCGACCUCCCAAUUUUUAUUGGAUUCCAUGGGGCCUGUUAGGGAAGAUGAUAGGCGGGUUCCAAGAGCGUUCGUGCUAGUACCCGAAAGAUGGUGAUCUAUGCCUGGCCAGGAUGAAGCCAGAGGAAACUCUGGUGGAGGUCCGUAGCGGUUCUGACGUGCAAAUCG
rnacentral:rRNA from 1 species